rnacentral:lncRNA from 1 species
GGCUUGGGCCAGCCGCCUUGGAGGGACGCAGAGUGCGCCUCCCCGACCUCUCCUCCAUCGUCUGGAACGAACUCUCUUUUCCUGGAGGGAGGAGCAGCCCGGACCCUGAGGCAGGACUAAGCCGGUUAGGGUCCCUGUAUGGCCUGCAGGUCUCCUGGCGAAGCCCAGGGAGGGCCUGGGUCCUCCGUGUCCUGGGAUGUAGGUCCCGAUGUUCGGGCCACGGUAUCUGACCGCUCUCAACGUCCUGCGCCCUCGUGUCAGCUUUACAUGGCAGAGCCAGGUUGCACAAGGAUCCUCUGAGGUGCUACAGAAGGGACUUACCCAAACCCUUCAGUGCAAGUCAGGAAUUCAGGGGUCCCGCCUGCUCGGUGGAUGAACUGUGCUGAGGCCCCACUGCCUCCACCCUCCGGGACCAGGGCAGUCUUUCUCCCGAAGCCUCUUCUCAGCUGAUUUCUGGCUUCCAAGCGGGGAUUCAGGUUACACCUGUAUCGGGAGCAGUGACACCACAGUGGCCGGCAACACAUUGAACUUUCUGCCUCCAACCCCAUUUUCAGCUUUUACACUUUCUGAUCUGGUCAUGUACUCCUGUGUCCCUGAUCAUCAAGGGCCUUGGGAGCAACGCAGGAGCAUACAUAUUCUAUACAGGGACAUGUCUGACUCUAUACCGGUUACGCAUCCUGAUGCAACGGCGAGAUUCCCAUUUUAGCAGAGAAAUCCUUAGCAUGUGAAUGUUUUCAAUAAAAGUUUGUUAAGACUGGCGUUUAAAAUUUAUAAACCGAAAUUCAUUGUUUUCAAAAUAUCUUCCACCUUUGAUGGAAUUAUG